rnacentral:lncRNA from 1 species
CAGGUUUCCAUGUGCAAGGCUCCAGCCCAGACCAAUGACACUGCUUAUCUAUGAUUGUCAAAAUGCCAGCUAUCACCAGUGAAGAACUCCAGGUGGCACAAAUACUAUGACCUGUCUCCUAACAGAUCUCAGGAGUUAAGACAUCAUCUCCAGAAAACUGUGCUAGUUGGCAUCCAGCAGUGCCCAAGUAUUAUUUAACCCACUAGAACCUGUGACUGCAUCAGCUUUAUAUCCUGGACCUCAGCCUGGAACAAAGGAGAGCUACACUUGGAUACUAAACACAAGUGGUCUGGAUAGAUUAUGCUGGGAAAAGAAGCCUGGAGCAGGCAGUACAGUGGGAGAAC